rnacentral:lncRNA from 1 species
GAAUCUGAUCUAAGCUCUAAGUUGGAACCUUUGUUUCAUACCUGAGCUAUUUUGAUCUAGAUUAGCAUUCGGGGACCCUCCGUAAGUCUUCUUUCGCUCUUUUAUUCGCUUUUCGAGUCCGAAAGUCAACGUUUUGUUGACUUUCUGCAUUGACCAGCCUAUGGUCAACACGAAGUUCUUGGAACUUCAUAACGUGAGCGUGAUCACGAUGGUUAUAGUCCGUAGUGACUAUACCUACUGAUUACCACGUUAUCUAGGCUCAGUGACGAGUCGUAGUUUCGGCCAAAAUGUGCAUUCUUGCAUAUUUUGUAACCAAACUACUCGUGAGCAUCAAAGACGUUUGUUUUGAUGCCAAACCUGUUUUUUAAACUUAGUUAAGAAUGUUCUAACAUGCUUAGCUCGUCACUUUUAGUUUAGUGCUUAUAUAGGGUCGUAAGGUAAGCGAUCUAAACCAUCGCUUAUACUUUCGAACCCAACCCAUUUGGUCGAUCAUUAGGAUCCGACCAAACACAUUAGGUGACCAUAGCUAUAACCUUCCGAGGUUAUACCUUGUGGUCGCGAUGUUAGGCGUUCCGAACGCGUUCUACGCGAACGUCACGUUAGGGUAGCAUAAGCUACCUAAACGGGUCGUGAUGGACCGUAAGCACUUAGGUUAAGUUUCAUUUUAGUAUGUAGGCUUUGUUAAACCAUAUUACACGAGUCUCCAUACUCGUUUGGUUUACGAACCCGCGUACUAUCCGAUCCUUCCGAUUUGGUCCGGUAUAUUAACAUAGCUACCUAUUAGGUGCCGUUUGAUAUCACGUGAUCUUUAGCAUUAUCUGGUUAUUAUACAAGAACUCCAAAGCAAUCUCAGCAUGGUGGAUACGCCGCUGGUGUUGUCUUGAGAUGAUUGUUGAUACAUGCUACAUUUAGGAUGGACUCGUGCCUUAGCAACUUUAAAACUUGGAAGAUCAUAGUUGUACUUAUGUGAUUGUAAUAGAACAAUGAGUUCAUUUAAUCAAUAAAACAAUAUU